GACGAACGCUGGCGGCGUGCCUAACACAUGCAAGUCGAGCGGGGAUCGCAUAAUGAAGUUUUCGGAUGGAUUUGUGUGAUUCUAGCGGCGGACGGGUGAGUAACGCGUGAGCAACCUGCCUUCUACUGGGGAAUAACGCAUCGAAAGGUGUGCUAAUACCGCAUAAGACCACAGAACUGACAUGGUUCAGGGGUCAAAGGAGCAAUUCGGUAGAAGAUGGGCUCGCGUCUGAUUAGCUAGUUGGUGAGGUAACGGCCCACCAAGGCGACGAUCAGUAGCCGACCUGAGAGGGUGAUCGGCCACAUUGGAACUGAGAAACGGUCCAAACUCCUACGGGAGGCAGCAGUGGGGAAUAUUGGGCAAUGGGGGAAACCCUGACCCAGCAACGCCGCGUGAAGGAAGAAGGUCUUCGGGUCGUAAACUUCUAUCCUUGGUGAAGAUAAUGACGGUAGCCAAGAAGGAAGCCCCGGCUAACUACGUGUCAGCCGCCGCAGUAAGAC
rnacentral:rRNA from 1 species